rnacentral:rRNA from 1 species
GCUCAAUGAUUUUUUAAAUUGCUGUGGUAUUUUGACCUAUUCAAAGGUAAUUGAAAUAAGAUUUUAAUUGAAUGCUAAGAGAAUGGAAUUACAGGAAAUAGACUUUUUUUAGAUUAAAAAUUAGAAUUUUUUUAAUUUGUCGCAGAAACAAUUAUUAAUAUUAAGGACAAGAAGACCCUAUKARUUUAUAAAUUUAUGUUUAUAGUAAUUAMUAUAAAAUAAAUUUUGGUUGGGGCGAACAAAAAAAAAUAAAAAACUUUUUUUUUAUAAAAUSAUYMUUAUKAAUGUUAUAUGAAAAAUACUCUAGGGUACAGCGUAUUUUUUUUGAUAGCUAUAUUGAACAAAAAGUUUGCGACCUCGAUGUUGGAUUAGGAUACUUUUUUAAUGCAGAUAUUAAAAAAAGAAGUUUGUUCAACUUUUAAUUUCCUACUUGAUCUGAGUUCAGACCGG